rnacentral:rRNA from 1 species
CAGUAGCCGCGGGAAUACGGAGGAUGCAAGCGUUAUCCGGAAUCAUUGGGCGUAAAGGGUCCUGAGGUGGUUUGCCCAGUCUACUGUGAAAGAUCAGGGCUCAACCCUGAAAAUGCGGUGGAAACUAGCAGGCUAGAAUACGGUAGGGGCAGGGGGAAUUCCCGGUGUAGCGGUGAAAUGCAUAGAUAUCGGGAAGAACACCAAUGGCGAAAGCACCCUGCUGGGCCGAUAUUGACACUGACAGACGAAAGCUAGGGGAGCAAAUGGGAUUAGAUACCCGAGUAGUCCCUGUCUCUUAUAC